GAUCCUGGCUCAGGAUAAACGCUGGCGGCGCACAUAAGACAUGCAAGUCGAACGGAAGUCGUUACGAAAUGGAAUGAAGAUUUAUCUGAUUGAAGUUUUUGUAAACAAUGGCUUUUAGUGGCGGACUGGUGAGUAACACGUAAGCAAUCUACCUAUUAGAGGGGAAUAACAAUGAGAAAUCAUUGCUAAUACCGCAUAAGCUUGUAGUACCGCAUGGUACAGCAAGAAAAAGGAAGCAAUCCG
rnacentral:rRNA from 1 species